rnacentral:lncRNA from 1 species
CCGGAAUUUUUUUUAGCAGCGCCUGGCGUGGUGACCCGUUUUUAGUCCCGGUUGAGUGACCCAGGAUAAAAGAUCUCUCUUUUAUCUCGAUUGGUUUAUCCCGGAUGGAAUUUCAGGAGAUCUGCACCCUACCAACCGGGACUAAUACCGAGUUCUCUACCAGUGAGCCAAAGAUGACCAACGCCGCUUGUCCUCUCUCUACCUCCACGUCGGCUCAAUCUCCUCCGCGCUAUCACCGGAUCCUCUGAGCUCCGUCCCCUGCCUACCACCA